rnacentral:tRNA from 1 species
GUCGAAGUGGUGGAAUUGGUAGACACGCUACCUUGAGGGGGUAGUGCUCUAACGGGCGUGCGGGUUCAAGUCCCGCCUUCGACACCA